GCCACGGUGGUCUAGCGGUUAGAACGCUGGCCUUGUAAUCCUGGGGUCUCGGGUUCGGUUCCCGGCGGUGCCC
rfam:Zootermopsis nevadensis contig29357, whole genome shotgun sequence.